GGGGUUGUACUGGUUUCGACGGGGAUUUAGAAAUCAUGGAAGCCAUUGAUGGACCAGGACCAUCUAAAAACUUGGAAUUAAAUAUAAACGCAGACAAUCAGUUAGCGUACGCUGCCUAAUGGCAGCUGUCUUACCUAAGUUGACUCACGGCUUGGGAUAAGGCAUCAAAACAGUGGGGAACUUUGCUGUGAAAGCUUUGACACGGUAAAAGAAUGAUGAAGCUACCAAGGGUUUCAGCCUGCCGGUUGGCGGAAGCUUAAGGGAAUGUCAGUAAAGCGGCUGUAAUGGGAGAUGCCAUGAUGGAAGAGUCUUCGGACAGGGGUUCGAUUCCCCUCAGCUCCAUUG
rnacentral:tmRNA from 1 species